CUCAGCCUCCCGAUUACAGGCAUGCACCACCAUGCCCGGCUAAUUUUGUAUUUUUAGUAGAGACAGCGUUUCUCCAUGUUAGGCUGGUCUCAAUCUCCUGACCUCAGGUGAUCUGCCCGCCUCGGUCUCCCAAAGUGCUGGAAUUAUAGGCGUGAGCCACCACGCCCAGCCUUUUGUGAUUACUUUUAAAAUUCAGCUGGGUUUGACACUUGGAGGCUUAAUUUCUGGGAAUGACUGGACACAGCAUGUGGCUGGGACCCUCUGAACAACCUCUGACCUAGUGGAGAAGCAGGUGGUAAUGACUGUAGGUAUGGAUAGGGAAAGACUAGGCGGGCAAAUACUUGUCGUGUGUCAACAGGUGUAUUUUGCUAAAUGUCGGGGACACAUUCCAAGAGGCUAAAAAGCAAAUUUCUGUACAUUAGGAGAUUUGUGAGUCCUUAGGAAAGGCUCAGAAGAGGGCUCCACCUAGCACAAUACCUGACAUAGAAAGUGGUCAGUGUCUGCAGAAUGAGUCGGCAUGAACCGUACUUUCCUUGGCAGGGUUAUUAGGUGGUAAAUACCUGCAGAAUAAUGGGAUUGUACUAGGGUUUCUUCUGGCUUUAGAAACCCAUUUGUUUACUAAUAGAUUCCCAGAGGAUACCUUGAUCUCACCAAGCUAUUUGCCAGAAUGUCUCCUGAUGGCCUCAUUGAAGAAAGGGGGACUAUGAGCCAGAUGCUGGUGCCCUGAAGAUUUGUAGUUUGUGGGAUAGUCUUAACUUGGCAGGGUUUGAUUAACAGAAUGAAGUCUGUUCCUUAGAGGGAAGUCUUUGCUUGCUGCCCUGACCUGCUGGACACUGUUAAUUGGGAUGAGGUCAAAGAAGGCAUAGUUACCACAUUUGCAGGAGACCCUAACCUGGAAAUAGUAAAUUACAUAACAUUCUUUCAAGUGUCUCCUCUUUUAAAAAAGUAUUUUGAUAUAGUUUCACACAGAGAAAACUUGCAAGAACUCUUGUAUAUCCUUUACCCAGAUUCUCCAACUGUCAAUACUUUGUCCCAUUUACUAUUUGCUUUAGACAUUUUGAGAUUUGUUUUUGAACCAUUUGAGGAAAACAUCCUACCCUUCUACCCAUAAGUACUUUUUCAGUGUGUACAUCUUAAGAAUCAGGACUUUCUCUUCCAUAACCACAGUCCAUCAGAUGCAGGAAAUAAGACAAUAAUGCAAUACUAUGACUUAGCCCACAGUUCAUGUUCAAAUCUUACCGAUCACCAUGCCUCUUUGGUCUUGCUUAAUCUGAAACAGUUCAGAUUUUUAUUGGACUUUCUCGGCUUUGACAUUUUGGAGAGUGAGGUGUUAUUCUUUAGGGUGUCUGUCAGUUUACAUUUGGGGCUUUCCCGUGAUCGGAUUCAGGAUUUACAUUUUUGGCAGGAACAGCACAGAAAUGAUGCUGUGACCCACAUGCAUCACAUUAGGGGCCCAUGAUGUGGGACUGCGCUUUCCUUGCUGCUGUUAACUUUUAUCAGUUAAGGUUGUGUUUUCCGCAUUGUGAAGAUACUGUUUUUCCUUUUAAUAAGUAAUUUCUGGAGGGAUACUUUGAAACUAAGUAUCCUGUUCCUCAUCAAACUUUCACCUACUAGUUUCAGCCUCAAUUGAUGAUUCUUGCUGAAUCAAUUACCAAGAUGGUUGCAAAAUGGUGAUUUUGCAACAUUAUCGUUUCUUCUAAUUAUUGGCAUGCUCUUAUAAGGCAGUUUGUUUUCUCGACCUUAGAAGUUUUGUGUUCAUUUAGUUAUUGGCAUAGACUCAAGAGUCUUGUGUUCUAUGUGGAGUCUGUUACUGUGAUUCCUUGUGAUGUCCAGAUUGUAUGUAUUUGGCCAAUCUUGAGUUCCUUCAGGAAACCUCCUGGAUCCCAUCAUUUUAAGGGUGCUUCCUUACUUUCUAGCAUGAGAUAUUCCAGGCCUACCUUGUACUUUCCCUGCUGCAGCCCUGGAGUCAGUCUUUUGUUGUGGUUUUGCUUUUUAGAGACAGGGUCUUGCUCUGUCGCUCAGGCUGGAGAGCGGUGGUGCAGUCAGCUCACUCCACUCCUGGGCUCAAGCCAUCCUCCUGCCUCAGCCUCCUGAGUAGCUAGGACUAUAGGCAUGCACCACCACGCCCAGCUUUGAAUCCGUCUUUUAUCCAAGGAGCUCUGGCCUUUUAGCGGAGAAUAGCGGAUGACAUGAAUGAUGGGCCUGAAGCAGGAAGUGAAAUGCAAUCCUGACCACCAGACAGAUGGGAUCUUCAGCUGCACUCAGGCAAGAACUAGGCUCGGGGUAGAGGUGACAGCUCUGUGAUGGGGAGCUCAGGCUGCACCAGGAGGCCAUGCUAGGUUUGACUUCAUUUAAAAAGCACACUACACAGCUGACGGGCUCAGGAGCUCCAUGAAGGGCACCCUGCAGAGGUCUGGAGGGUAGUGAGAAGGUACCAAUGGGGCGAGCAUGCCUGUGUCGGGAGGCUGAUCCGGGUAGGAAUAAGCCCAGCAUGCCCCACAUGAGCCCACCAUGAGGAAGCAUUUGGAGAGAAAGCUUGCUCUGUGUUGUCAGAAGGGAGAUUGAAGAAGGUGGGCCCAGGGGUGCUGUUGACAGUAUAGGCUCAUGUGCUGUUCCAAGGCUCAUCUCUGGCUCUUGCCUGGUCUGGCCAUACCAUGUCCACAUCCGCUGUACUUAGGACUUCCUCUGGGCACCAGGGCAGUGGCCUCACCAAGACCUGGAGGCCUAGAUGAUGAAAUCAUACUGGUGUUUGCUGUGCUUGUACAUUCCCAUCAGCAGACAUCCGUGUUUGGGCCUGACUGGCCAACAGGGAAGUCCAGGGAGGACACAGUAUAAGCUGCUUGGGUAGAGGUCAGCUGGAACCUCUUGUGAACUCUGCACCAGAGUGAAGCCUUCACCCAUGGCAGUAUUCCUGUGGGUGGGAGGGAAGCUACUGCAGACUGAAAGCAAAUGAUUCCAAGGAAACACAGUACUUUAGAGAAUUCUCUUUAGAUCCGUGAGUGCUGCCCAUGGAGCUGGGCCAUUCCUCCUGAGAUACAGGACAGGACGCCUCAACUCUGCUUCUUUGGGCUCUCCCAGACCUACCCAGGCCACUGGAGUGAGUCUAGAGAAAUGACCAGGGUGGUGAAGAGACACCCUGCAAACUGGCACAUACGAGAGGAACCCAGGAGGGCAGCAGACCCCAGGGGGAUGAGGGUGCUGCCUGCAAAUCUCUGAAGAGUUGUCACAGAACAGAGUGAAGAGAUGUCCUUUGGGGGCCCCAGGAGGUAGAGAUUCUGGGAAUGAGGUUGGGUUUGUUUCCUCAUUUGUCUGCCUGUCUGUCCGCCAUCCAUCCAACACUUAGUGAGCUUUGCUCUGUGCUGGGCAUAGAGAAUCAACAGUGAACAAGAUGGGCAAAGUCCCUGCCCUCAACCAACAGACUGAAAAGAGAGGAUUCAGUGCCAUCUGCAGGUGGCAUGUGGCUGAGUGGGCACAGGAGCAUGGAGAAGGCGCAGUUAACUGUUAUUUGUAGAGACAGGGGAAGGUGUUCCAUAGAAGUAGUGACUAAGGAGCUUCUGAAGGAGGGGUAGAAUUUAGCGAGGGAGAGAGACUUUGGCUCAAUUAAGUAAAAAGUUAGAUGGGCUCAGUUUUCUUGGGCAAGUCUGGCCUGUUGUGCAAAGCACCCGCACUCCCUGACUCUUCCCCAAACACAAGAGCUAAGGUGGGUGUUCUGUUCCUCCCACUUCUGCCUCCAAAUGACCUGGAGGGAAUUUGUGUCCCAGCUGUUCCCUUCCCUGCCACCUUUGCUCCAGGUAAUAGCCCUCCUCACACCUCUCCACAUCUGAUAGGGAACUUUCCCCUGCCGGAUCUCAGGAGCAUCAGCACUCCCAGCCUCCAAAAUGGGGACAAUGAGCUCACCAAGUCAAUGUUUAAUACAUUAUUGACAGAACUUACGAUGAUUUUAGGUGGCUCAGGGAUGUAGUAAAGUACUUGUGUUCUGCUGGUUAGGCUAAGCUGAAGUGACAAAUGGCCCUCAAAUGUCUGGUUUCAACAAAAGUUCAUUUGCUUUUGUUGAAUGUCUGGCACAUGUCUGUCAGCCAGCAGGCACCUGGGACCCUGCUCCGGGUUAGCUUCACCCCGGGACUCGGGCUGCCAUGUCUGACACGUGGUGGUCCACUGGCAGAGGGACACACGAUCGGGGCAAGUUCUGCUGGCCCUUAAAGCUUCUACCCAGAAGUGACCAUUAACCACUUCUGCCUACAUUCACUGGGCAAAUCAGGUCCCAUGGCAACGUGAGAGGGCAUGUACUCUCCCUGAGGGGCAGCAAACAGUAACUACCAAAACCAAUGAAUAUUUUCAUUUUAAUAGUUUAAUGUAUGUUUAUAGUAAUAUAAAAAGUCUUUUCAGUGUGUGAAAAAAAGACAUGUUGUAGGAUGGGAUCCUGGAAUGGAAAAAGGACAUUAGGUAACAAACUAAAGAAAUCUGAGGCCAGGCACAGUGGCUCAUGUUUGUAAUCCCAGCACUUUGGGGGAUUGAAGCAGGCGGAUCACUUGAGCCCAGGAGUUUGAGACCAGGCUAGGCAACAUGGCAAAACCCCGUCUCUACAAAAAAAUACAUAAAUUAGCCAGGCGUGGUGGUGCAUGCCUGUAGUCCCAGCUGCUCAGGAGGCUGAGGUGGGAGGAUCACCUGAGUGAGCCUGAGGAGGUCAAGGCUGCGGUGAACCAUGAUCACACCACUGCACUCUAGCCUGGGCAACAGAGUGAGAUCCCGUUUCAAAAAGAAAAAAAUCUGAAUAAACUAUGGACUUUAGUU
rnacentral:lncRNA from 10 species